AUCAUCAUUGGGGUAUCUAGUUUUAAAAAUGUGUCCGGUGACCCAGCCAACUAACCAAGAUGGCCACCAUGGCUAAAAAUAGAACAUAGGGGUAAAAUGCAGUUUUUGGCUUAUAACUCAAAAACCAAAGCAUUUAGAGCAAAUCUGACAUGGGGUUGAAAUUGUUUAUCAGGUGAAGAUCUAUCUGCCCUGAAAUUUUCAGAUGAAUCGGACAACCCGUUGUUUGGUUGGUGCCCCUGAAUUGGUAAUUUUAAGGAAAUUUUGCUGUUUUUGGUUAUUAUCUUGAAUAUUAUUAAAGAUAGAGAUAAACUGUAUAUAGCAAUUAUGUUCAGAAAAGUAAGAUUUACAAAUAAGUCAAGUGACCGAAAUGGUCAGUUGACCCCUUUGGGAGUUUUUGCCCUUUAUAGUCAAUUUUUAACCAUUUUUCGUAAAUCUUAGUUAUCUUUUACAAAAAUCUUCUCCUCUGAAACUACUAGGCCCAAUUAAUCCGAACUUAGCCACAAUCAUCUUUAGGGUAUCUAGUUUAAAAAAUGUGUCCGGUGACCCGGCCAUAAAUGAAGAUGGCCGCCACGGCUAAAAAUGGAACAUAGGGGUAAAAUGCAGUUUUUGGUUUAUAACUCAAAAAACCAAAGCAUUUAGAGCAAAUCUGACUGGGUUAAAAUUAUUUAUCAGGUCAAGAUCUAUCUGAAACUGAAACUACUGCGCCAAGUUCAUUUUAGAUAGAGAUAAUUGUAAGCAGAAAGACUGUUUAGUAAAGUAAGAUGUACAAACUCAUUUCCAUCACUUAAACACAAUUUUGUCAUGAAUCCAACUGCUUACUUUGUUUAAUAUUCACAUAGACCAAGGUGAGCGACACAGGCUCUUUAGAGCCUCUUGUUUGUUUAAACAUAUUUAACAACACUUCAAGUUAGUUUCCUUUAUCAAAGAUGCCAGUUUUAAUUAUUUGAAGUUAGACAGAGAAUCCAGAAAACUGGUAAUCCUUGUCAAUUAAAAUCAGAGUCGCGCGCACCUUCCCAGAGAGUGAUGAUUGAACUCCCACAAAUAUUUCAACCAGAGACAAAUACUUUGUCGUUGCAUCUCAUGUCAAUAGCAAAUAUGUCUCUGUAAAUCUGUUGUAUCUAUCGUUUAUUUGCCUCUCAAUUGGUUUUGGUUUGUUUCCCUUAUGGGUUUAAAGUUUGAUAUUUUUUAAUGUUUAACACAUAUAGGCUAUAGGGUUUUCUUGAGUAUAGAUUUUCGUCUUUCGGUAUGCAUGUGCUUUGAUUUGAAGUAAUUACUUCGCACUUAAAAUGUUCGGAUUUUCAAGUCACUCGUACGUCGACGAAUAGUAAACUAGUCAGACAUUUAUAUCUUCUAUUUUAUAUGUGUAUGCCAUGUUCUCUCUUAGCAAUUAAUUAAACAGAUAAAAAAA
rnacentral:lncRNA from 1 species